rnacentral:rRNA from 1 species
AACGCGAAGAACCUUACCUGGGCUCGAAAUGUAGUCGCCAGCCUGAGAGAUCAGGUCUUCCCGCAAGGGACGGCUGCAUAGGUGCUGCAUGGCUGUCGUCAGCUCGUGUCGUGAGAUGUUGGGUUAAGUCCCGCAACGAGCGCAACCCUUACCGUUAGUUGCUCGCCCGCAAGGGAAGCACCCUAACGGAACCGCCUCAGACAAUGGGGAGGAAGGUGGGGAUGACGUCAAGUCCUCAUGGCCUUUAUGUCCAGGGCUACACACGUGCUACAAUGGCCGGUACAAAGCGUCGCGAACCCGCGAGGGGGAGCCAAUCGCAAAAAGCCGGUCUCAGUUCGGAUUGCAGGCUGCAACUCGCCUGCAUGAAGCCGGAAUCGCUAGUAAUCGCGUAUCAGAACGACGCGGUGAAUACGUUCCCGGGCCUUGUACACACCGACGCGUA